AUACGGAGGGUGCAAGCGUUACUCGGAAUCACUGGGCGUAAAGCGCGCGCAGGCGGCUAUUUAAGUUGGAUGUGAAAGCCUACGGCUCAACCGUAGAACUGCAUCCAAAACUAUUUAGCUAGAGUGUGGGAGAGGAAGAUGGAAUUAGUUGUGUAGGGGUAAAAUCCGUAGAGAUAACUAGGAAUACCAAAAGCGAAGGCAAUCUUCUGGAACACUACUGACGCUGAGGCGCGAAAGCGUGGUGAGCAAACAGGAUUAGAAACCCUAGUAGUCC
rnacentral:rRNA from 1 species